rnacentral:rRNA from 1 species
AAGCUUGCUUCUAUGAAUCUUAGUGGCGAACGGGUGAGUAACGCGUAAUCAACCUGCCCUUCAGAGGGGGAUAACAACGGGAAACCGUUGCUAAUACCGCGUACGAUAUACUUUCGGCAUCGAGAGUAUAUGAAAGGUGGCCUCUAUAUAUAAGCUAUCGCUGAAGGAGGGGAUUGCGUCUGAUUAGCUAGUUGGAGGGGUAACGGCCCACCAAGGCGA